UACGUAGGGGGCAAGCGUUGUCCGGAUUUACUGGGCGUAAAGAGCGUGUAGGCGGCCACGCAGGUCCGUUGUGAAAACUGGAGGCUCAACCUCCAGCUGUCGACGGAAACCGUGUGGCUAGAGUCCGGAAGAGGAGAAUGGAAUUCCUGGUGUAGCGGUGAAAUGCGCAGAUAUCAGGAAGAACACCAAUGGCGAAGGCAGCUCUCUGGGACGGUACUGACGCUGAGACGCGAAAGCGUGGGGAGCGAACAGG
rnacentral:rRNA from 1 species